rnacentral:tRNA from 1 species
GCCUUUGUGGUGCAACGGUAGCACACUCGGCGCAUAUUUCGAGAGGUGCAGGUUCGAGUCCUGGCGAGGGCA